rnacentral:tRNA from 1 species
GGGAGCUUAGUAUAACGGUAAUGCAAUGGAUUUCUAUUCCUUAAGAUCUCAGUUCAAAUCUGGGAGCUUCCA